GACGGAGGAUGCAAGUGGUAUCCGGAAUCACUGGGCGUAAAGCGUCUGUAGGUGGUCAAAUAAGUCAACUGUUAAAUCUUGAGGCUCAACCUCGAAAUCGCAGUCGAAACUAUUAGACUAGAGUAUAGUAGGGGUAAAGGGAAUUUCCAGUGGAGCGGUGAAAUGCGUAGAGAUUGGAAAGAACACCGAUGGCGAAUGCACUUUACUGGGCUAUUACUAACACUCAGAGACGAAAGCUAGGGUAUCAAAUGGG
rnacentral:rRNA from 1 species